UGGGGAAUAUUGGACAAUGGGCGCAAGCCUGAUCCAGCAAUGCCGCGUGUGUGAAGAAGGCCUGCGGGUUGUAAAGCACUUUCGGUGGGGAGAAAGAGGCUAGUGCUAAUAACACUAGCGGAUGAUGUUACCCACAGAAGAAGCACCGGCUAACUCUGUGCCAGCAGCCGCGGUAAUACAGAGGGUGCAAGCGUUAAUCGGAAUUACUGGGCGUAAAGGGUGCGUAGGUGGUUGCGUAAGUUAGGUGUGAAAUUCCUGGGCUUAACCUGGGGACUGCGCCUGAUACUGCGUAGCUAGAGUACUGUAGAGGGAAGUGGAAUUUCCGGUGUAGCGGUGAAAUGCGUAGAUAUCGGAAGGAACAUCGGUGGCGAAGGCGACUUCCUGGACAGCUACUGACACUGAGGCACGAAAGCAUGGGGAGCAAACAGG
rnacentral:rRNA from 1 species